AAAAAAAAAAAGGAACAACAAAAAGGAAAUAUCAUCUUAUUUCUACUUUUCAACACUACAGGGUUAUGGUGUUGAAGAAUGCACAAAUCGAGAGAUUGUAAGAUAUGGUGCUGGUGUAGCAAAUUCUCCAAUCAAUGAUCUCAAUUUGGGAUGCGCACAUGCUUGCGAAAAUUCAGGAAGAGAACAUCUGGGAAUGUUCUGAUUGAUGGACUUCUUAGUGCAUUCUUCAUCUAUGUUUGUGGUUACUUGUGUUGUGGAGUGAUGCCCAAGCAACGAAUGCUCGGGAUUGUCCGAGCGUUAUUUACUGUGUUGCCAUUGUGAAGUCAAUGCUGCAGGUUACUUGAACUUCCGUCCUUUGUGGAGUCUGGGAGAAACUAAGCCCUUACUAUUUCUUGUUUAUUUUGUCAUAUUUUCGUGCCAGGGGAAGAGACAAUUUUCUGUUGUGUGCUCCGAUUCUUGGAGUAUCCCGCACAUCCGAGUUCUGCCGUAGAGCGCCCUGCUCCAAGUACUGGAGCGAAGAGAUCUGAUGGGCAUGCUCUCGUUCUUCUCUACCGAGACUCCUCCUUCCAUGCCAAGGCCGAGGUGACUCUUGGAGGAGGUGGACGUGGGUGCACUAACGACGCUUUGUCAAGCGGGUUGGAGGGGUUUCCGGUUGUUACUGAUUGCGAGGAGAAUGGAAGUGGAUCAGGAAAAGGAGCGGCUAACUGCGGAUGCGGGAUAUUGUCAUCACUUGUCCUGUUGACUCUCUCCGAUUACUAUGGUGUCCUCGCUGCGAGGGCAUGUAUUAUUGGAGACUUACAUGAGACUUCUAGGUUAUUGUUUCUUGAUGUGGUGUGGCUGAUUGAACCUAUUUCUGUUUGGUGUGCCUGCAUUGAACCAUCAGUGUCUUCUGUUUCUGUUUGUGUUCUAUGCAUUUUCCUUGCCCUUGGGAAUUCGCAGUA